rnacentral:rRNA from 1 species
UCACCACACCUACGGGUGGCUGCAGUCGAGGAUCUUCGUCAAUGGGCGCAAGCCUGAACGAGCGACGCCGCGUGAGCGAUUGAAGGCCUUCGGGUUGUAAAGCUCAAAAGGGGGGAGAAAGGCCGAAAGGCUUGAUCGAUCCCCAGUAAGCACGGGCUAAGUUCGUGCCAGCAGCCGCGGUAAGACGAACCGUGCGAACGUUGUUCGGAAUCACUGGGCUUAAAGGGCGCGUAGGCGGGUUCGCAAGUCUGUGGUGAAAUCCUCCAGCCCAACUGGAGAACUGCCGUGGAUACUGCGAGUCUCGAGGGAGGUAGGGGCGUGCGGAACAGAUGGUGGAGCGGUGAAAUGCGUUGAUAUCAUCUGGAACUCCGGUGGCGAAGGCGGCACGCUGGACCUCAUCUGACGCUGAGGCGCGAAAGCUAGGGGAGCAAACGGGAUUAGGUACA